UCCCUGGCGGCUGAGCUGGUAAAGAAUCCACCUGCAAUGUGGGAGACCUGGGUUCAAUUCCUGGGUUGGGAA
rnacentral:tRNA from 1 species